GGCGAACGCUGGCGGCGUGCUUAACACAUGCAAGUCGAACGAUGAAGCUGGAGCUUGCUCCGGUGGAUUAGUGGCGAACGGGUGAGUAACACGUGAGUAAUCUGCCCUUGACUCUGGAAUAACUGCGGGAAACUGUAGCUAAUACCGGAUACUUUCACUGGAAGGCAUCUUCUGGUGAAGAAAGAAUUUCGGUCAAGGAUGAGCUCGCGGCCUAUCAGCUUGUUGGUGAGGUAACGGCUCACCAAGGCGACGACGGGUAGCCGGCCUGAGAGGGCGACCGGCCACACUGGGACUGAGACACGGCCCAGACUCCUACGGGAGGCAGCAGUGGGGAAUAUUGCGCAAUGGGCGAAAGCCUGACGCAGCAACGCCGCGUGCGGGAUGACGGCCUUCGGGUUGUAAACCGCUUUCAGCAGGGAAGAAGCCGCAAGGUGACGGUACCUGCAGAAGAAGCACCGGCUAACUACGUGCCAGCAGCCGCGGUAA
rnacentral:rRNA from 1 species